AUUGAACUUUGAGCAUUAAAAUUUUACAGAUUUUAUUUAUACUCUAACAACAACAUUACACACUAACUAAACUUUGAAACAUGGGAUCACGAAGAAUGGGACCUUUAAAAGGAUUUUGCUGGUGCAAAAUGUAGAGCAAGACCGGGCCUACUCUGCCGAACGUAUAUAUUUAGGAGUACGUGGAAGACCUUCCAUUAAUGUUUCAAUGAAACAGGGACACACCAUUAAGCAGAUGGCCAAGAUUCUGGGCUGCUCAUCUUCAUUUCUUUAUAGGAAAACUAAACUGCUUGGAAUUCCUAUACGAAAACUGCAAACACAAGUGACUGAGGAAGAGCUCAUUCAGCAUGUCAGAAGACUUCACAGUCUCUAUCCCAACACAGGAAGUGAGAUCAUGAGGGGACUGCUACGUGGAGAAGGGCUGUUUGUCCAGCGGUGCAGGGUCCGAGAAGCCCUCACCCAAAUUGAUCCAACUGCGACUGCACACAGGUGGAGUAGUUCUAUUGCGCGAAGAGUCUACCAUGUUCCUCAUCCAAACAGUUUAUGGCACAUAGAUGGAAAUAUGCGGCUGAUAAGGUAAUAUGUUAUUCACCCAACCCUACACCCUGAAUUGUGGGGUCAUUCCACUCCUUGUAAUACCUAUGUCAUACCCAUGUCAUUAUACACAUUUGUGUCCUGAUAUGUCACAAAAACAAGCACCCCCACACGCACACACAAACACACACUACACAAAGACACACAGGUUAGGGGUACUGGACAUACGAAAUUGCCCAUAAUAGUGAGAGCGUGUGAGAGUGUCUUGUUUGCGGCAGGUAUUAAAAUGUGUUUUUGUCAAUUUUGUUACAGGUGGAUGAUAAAAAAUAAAGGUGUAAAUGGGGUCUAAAAAGUUUUGAGCUUGUCCACUUUCGACCACUUACAGAGCUAGUGAAAAAUGUAUUCGGCUGAAUUGCUUCCAUAGUAAAUUCUCAUGUGAUCAAAUGUGUUCGAACAGCCACAAAAGAGUGCCUACUCUCCUCCUACUGACCUAAUGCAUAAACAUGGGAAUAUGUGCGCUAAUCCUAGCCAAAAGAGAUUUAAACUUUGUCAUCUGAAGACCCAAGAGGAAGAGGAAAAAAGCACAAUGUUCUCUCACCAUUCCUGAUUUCUAACACACACUCACAGCGUUCGGUGUGAUCUUGCGAAUGUCAGAGCAGAAAUGAAAGCUGAUGCUCUCUGUAUGUUUUUCCAUUGUCUCCUUUAUGAAAGAUCUGAAAAAAACAUACAUUUACCUGCCCUUAGACCCUUCCCUCGAAGAAAUCAGGACAGAAAUGGUCAGAAGUGGACAAAAGAGGCAGACAAAACACCAGGUGUAAAUGGGUAUAUGUCUCACAUAUCUAAUACUUGUGAUCCAAUCAACCAAAACACAUCUUAACACCAGGUGUAAACAGGGCACUAGUGCUGGGGUUGCAUCAGGAAAUACUUCUGCCAUUAAACCUCAAAUAAGCCUUAUUCAGACUGUCAGUCCAAGCCCAAUUUUUCUGCAUAUCUAAUUUGAAUCCUUCAAUGUUUAGCAAGUGUGAACGGCAAAAAAAUGCCAUGAAAUGUCAUUUUUUUGAAACCACGUUAGAGCUAUGCUAAUAUGUGGUUUGAAAUCCUAUUCAAAUUGCAUUUCUGGAAAUCAGUUUCAGUCUGACCUCUCUAAUUAGAUUUUGCGUGGUUUAGAUUAUUUCUCAUGCUACAUAAAAUGUGAAUGUGAUGAAGUUCAGAGUGAAGAAGGAAGAGAAAGGGUCAGCUUACCGAGGCUUGUGCAUUUUAUUAUGUCUACAAAUUAUAUACAAAUAAUAAUAUUCAAAUCUAACUAAACUUAUGAUUACAGUUUUUCUCCAUCGAUUUGGUACAUUUCUCCAAACUCAGGUAACAGCUCUCAAAACAGUUAACACAGCAAACUAAACACACUCUUAUGCUGGCGAAACCGUUAAGUAUUCACUGCACAAUGAAACACAGCAUUUUAUUCUAGUAAUGCAUUUAUUAAAAUUCAAUAUUAACAUCAAAACUAAAAGUGUGUUCUCUGUUGAUUUUAUA